GACGAAUGCUGGCUGCGUGCUUAACACAUGCAAGUCGAACGGUGAAGGAGGGCUUGCCCUCCGGAUCAGUGGCGAACGGGUGAGUAACACGUGGGCAACCUGCCCCUCACUCUGGGAUAACGCCGGGAAACCGGCGCUAAUACCGGAUACGACCAGGCGCGACAUCUCGCCUGGUGGAAAGAAUUUCGGUGAGGGAUGGGCCCGCGGCCUAUCAGCUUGUUGGUGGGGUAACGGCCCACCAAGGCGACGACGGGUAGCCGGCCUGAGAGGGCGACCGGCCACACUGGGACUGAGACACGGCCCAGACUCCUACGGGAGGCAGCAGUGGGGAAUAUUGCGCAAUGGGCGAAAGCCUGACGCAGCGACGCAGCGUGAGGGACGAAGGCCUUCGGGUUGUAAACCUCUUUCAGCGGAGACGAAGCGAAAGUGACGGUACCCGCAGAGGAAGCACCGGCUAACUACGUGCCAGCCGCCGCCGUAAAAC
rnacentral:rRNA from 1 species